ACGCCGUGAUAUUCGAGCGCUUCCGCGAU
rnacentral:sRNA from 1 species